rnacentral:misc_RNA from 1 species
AACAAAGAAUAAGAGCUCAGCUGGGGAGGCCUCAACUGCAUCCACUGCUUCUACAACUAAGGCACCUCAGAUAAGCACCCAGGGGUUGACAGCACCUCAAGUGCCUUUACCAACCUUAGCAAUGCCUGCCCCUGCCCCUUCUCCUUCUCCUUCUCCUUCUCCUGCCCCUGCCCCCGCGCCCGCUCCCGCUCCCGCUUCUGCUCCCGCUCC